rnacentral:rRNA from 1 species
GACGAACGCUGGCGGCGUGCUUAACACAUGCAAGUCGAACGGAAAGGCCCUGCUUUUGUGGGGUGCUCGAGUGGCGAACGGGUGAGUAACACGUGAGUAACCUGCCCUUGACUUUGGGAUAACUUCAGGAAACUGUGGCUAAUACCGGAUAGGAGCUCCUGCUGCAUGGUGGGGGUUGGAAAGUUUCGGCGGUUGGGGAUGGACUCUCGGCUUAUCAGCUUGUUGGUGGGGUAGUGGCUUACCAAGGCUUUGACGGGUAGCCGGCCUGAGAGGGUGACCGGCCACAUUGGGACUGAGAUACGGCCCAGACUCCUACGGGAGGCAGCAGUGGGGAAUAUUGCACAAUGGGCGGAGGCCUGAUGCAGCAACGCCGCGUGCGGGAUGACGGACUUCGGGUUGUAAACCGCUUUCGCCUGUGACGAAGCGUGAGUGACGGUAAUGGGUAAAGAAGCACCGGCUAACUACGUG